CCUACGGGGGGCUGCAGUGGGGAAUAUUGGACAAUGGGCGAAAGCCUGAUCCAGCCAUGCCGCGUGUGUGAAGAAGGCCUUCGGGUUGUAAAGCACUUUCAGUGGGGAAGAAAGCCUUGGGGCUAAUACCCUCGAGGAAGGACAUCACCCACAGAAGAAGCACCGGCUAACUCCGUGCCGGCAGCCGCGGUAAUACGGAGGGUGCGAGCGUUAAUCGGAAUUACUGGGCGUAAAGCGCGCGUAGGCGGUCUGAUAAGCCGGUUGUGAAAGCCCCGGGCUCAACCUGGGAACGGCAUCCGGAACUGUCAGGCUAGAGUGCAGGAGAGGAAGGUAGAAUUCCCGGUGUAGCGGUGAAAUGCGUAGAGAUCGGGAGGAAUACCAGUGGCGAAGGCGGCCUUCUGGACUGACACUGACGCUGAGGUGCGAAAGCGUGGGUAGCAAACAGGAUUAGAUACCCCAGUAGUC
rnacentral:rRNA from 1 species